rnacentral:rRNA from 1 species
CCUACGGGGGGCUGCAGUGGGGAAUAUUGCACAAUGGGGGAAACCCUGAUGCAGCAACGCCGCGUGAGCGAUGAAGGCCUUCGGGUCGUAAAGCUCUGUCCUAAGGGAAGAAUACUGACGGUACCUUAGGAGGAAGCCCCGGCUAACUACGUGCCAGCAGCCGCGGUAAUACGUAGGGGGCUAGCGUUAUCCGGAAUUACUGGGCGUAAAGGGUGCGUGGGCGGCGCUUCAAGUCAGAGGUGAAGGGCUGCGGCUCAACCGUAGUAGGCCUUUGAAAGGGUAGGGCUUGAGUGCAGGGGAGGUGAGUGGAAUUCCCAGAGUGGCGGUGCUAUGUGUUGAUAUUGGGAGGAACACCAGUUGCGAAGGCGGUUCUCUGUACUGUAGCUGACGCUGGGGCACGAAAGCGUGUGGUGCGAACAGGAUGGGAAAGCCUGGUGGUC